UACGUAGGGUGCAAGCGUUGUCCGGAAUUACUGGGCGUAAAGAGCUCGUAGGUGGUUUGUCGCGUCGUCUGUGAAAUCCCGGGGCUUAACUUCGGGCGUGCAGGCGAUACGGGCAUAACUUGAGUGCUGUAGGGGAGACUGGAAUUCCUGGUGUAGCGGUGAAAUGCGCAGAUAUCAGGAGGAACACCGAUGGCGAAGGCAGGUCUCUGGGCAGUUACUGGCGCUGAGGAGCGAAAGCAUGGGUAGCGAACAGGAUUAGA
rnacentral:rRNA from 1 species